GACCGUGGUGCCUCCAAAUCAUUGCAGGUCGAGCGAAUGGAUUAAGAGCUUGCUCUUAUGAAGUUAGCGGCGGACGGGUGAGUAACACGUGGGUAACCUGCCCAUAAGACUGGGAUAACUCCGGGAAACCGGGGCUAAUACCGGAUAACAUUUUGAACCGCAUGGUUCGAAAUUGAAAGGCGGCUUCGGCUGUCACUUAUGGAUGGACCCGCGUCGCAUUAGCUAGUUGGUGAGGUAACGGCUCACCAAGGCAACGAUGCGUAGCCGACCUGAGAGGGUGAUCGGCCACACUGGGACUGAGACACGGCCCAGACUCCUACGGGAGGCAGCAGUAGGGAAUCUUCCGCAAUGGACGAAAGUCUGACGGAGCAACGCCGCGUGAGUGAUGAAGGCUUUCGGGUCGUAAAACUCUGUUGUUAGGGAAGAACAAGUGCUAGUUGAAUAAGCUGGCACCUUGACGGUACCUAACCAGAAAGCCACGGCUAACUACGUGCCAGCAGCCGCGGUAAUACGUAGGUGGCAAGCGUUAUCCGGAAUUAUUGGGCGUAAAGCGCGCGCACGUGGUUUCUUAAGUCUGAUGUGAAAGCCCACGGCUCAACCGCGGAGGGUCAUUGGAAACUGGGAGACUUUUGUGCGGAAGAGGAAAGUGGAAUUCCAUGUGUAGCGGUGAAAUGCGUA
rnacentral:rRNA from 1 species